AGACAAAGUUCGCUCAUAACGCAGAGCUGUGGGGCAAGGUGCUGUGUUCCAUGAAGCAUCACACGAUGGCUCCGAUAGCCCAAGUGCCCCAUGGGUAUACUAGUCCUUGCCUGUCCCAGGAUGGAGGAGAUGAGAGCUGUAGACUCCAAGACUUGACAGAACUAGAGUUGUUUUUUGCUGUUGUUGUUGUUUUGUUUUGUUUUUUAAAUGCAGAUUCUAUGCAGAGUUACUCGGAAGGCAGCAAGGGACCAAAAACCAGCUGAUACUCCUGGUCUCUGUACAUUGGCUGGGCAUGGUGCUGGUUUAUUUCUCCAAACCUUGCUUCUCUAUUGCCCUGGACCCUGUGAGGCAGGAUUACACAGAGAGAUCUUCCAUCUGCUAGUUCACUUCCCCAAUGAUUACAACAGUCAUGGAAGAAGCCAGGAUCUUGAAACUCCUUCUGACUCUCCCACUCGAGUAGCAGAGGCCCGAUCUCUUGGAUUGUACUCUGCUGGUUUCCCAGGCACUUUAGCAGCAAGUUAUAUGGCGCCAGCAUUGUGACCUGUGCUGACUACCUACUCUGCUCCUGCAUAUUGCCUGAGUGCAGCAGGUGCUGUUAGCACAAGAAGCUUCCUGGCUCUGCAGGGAACUCACCUCUGCCUAAAACACAUACAAUACAGACCACCUCCUCUGUGCAGAGAUAGCCUUGUUGCUGCCAACCCUCAGCAGCAGACCCCCAGAACAGGUACCCGGAAUGCCAAAAGUGAUGCUCGCAUGUUGUGCCACUGCCUUCAGGCCUGAUGUGAGCCUUCUGCAGUCCUCAGGCUUUCAAAAUGCUAAAUAUACAGCAUUAAUGGGAUCUUGCUGGCAUCUCUGGUGAAUAACUAAAGACACCUUUAUGUUGAAAUGCAGAUUUUCCAUUGAAAAGCAAAUUUUUCAUUGCAGGCAUUUGCAGAAACCUGGGUUUGUAUUUAUAAAAUAAGUUACAUAGU